AUAUAAUCCUCUCCAGGGGCAGGAUGAUGCCACAGACUGUAGAGCCUGCCCAGCAGGUAGAGUUUGUACCCAGGCUGGCUUGACCCAGCCAGACUCAGAGUGCAUGGCUGGUUAUGUGUGUCCAGUGGGGUCUUCCAGCCCUCAUGCUCCCAGCAACGCCUGCCCUCCAGGCACAUUCAGCAAUCAUCUCCAUCUUUUUGAUAAGUCUCAGUGUGAAACAUGUCCUGCCAGAUUCGUCUGUACGAGAGGAACAGGAGGGAAGCAGAAGCCCCCUGUCCCAUGUCCAGUUGGUCACUACUGCCCCCCAGGCACAAAAUAUCCAGCUCAAUACAAGUGUGCCCCAGGUACCUGGAGCAAUAGGACAAGCCUGGCAUCAGAGGAGGAAUGUUUGCCCUGUCCUGCAGGCUGGUUUUGUGUGGCAGGAGCUCAUGUGCCUUCAGGGAGAUGCAGCCCUGGACAUUACUGCCCUGAUGGUACACGGACAAGCACCCAGUUCCCCUGUCCUGCUGGAACCUACAGUACCAGGCUGGGAAAUGGCCGAGUGGAAGACUGCCCCGCCUGCCCCAUGGGAUCCUACUGCACAGAUGGGACCUCCAAGCCAACUCUAUGCCCAGUAGGAACUUACCGCAAGGAGCAAGGAGGAAAGGUGGCUGAAGACUGCAUCCCCUGCCCUGGAGGAUACCACUGCCCUGAGCUUGGCACUGUG
rnacentral:lncRNA from 1 species